UAAAAGAGAACAGGGCAAGAUAACGACCUUCUUUGUCAGGCAUAAACAGGUGUUUUAUUUUAGGUCUAAUUUUUCUAUGGCGACAGGAUUUAUUGAUCUCAUUUAGAUCAAAUACAAGUUUAUUUAAAGAAGCAAAUCCUAUAUAAACGGAAUUUACUGAGACUAACUUCUUAGAACAUUUGUCUGAUUUUGAUAAAACAACUAGCUUAGAAUAAUUCUUAAUAUGGACACCAUUAAAAAAAUUAUCGGCGCAAAGUUUAUGGGGACUAAACCAAAAACCGAACAAGAAAAAAAGGAACAACCUAUGCUUGUCAACAUUAUGCUUGGUGGGAUCCCGUACAGAUUUGAAAAGAAUCGAAUGACGCCCUUGAAAAUGUGGAGAUAUGCAGAUUGUGGCAGACCUCUUUACCCUCUUUAGCUCCUGAAAAUAAGACCACAGUAGAAGUUGUGCCAGAGAAAGAAACAUCGUUGUAAAUUUGUAUCUUUUUUUUCAUCUUUUAUGAAAAAAAAAUACACUGCAUAUUCCUGUGAUGUCGGUGAUCUCUUUGAUCUUUAAUAUUAAAUCUAAUAAUAAUCCUUAUAGCAUCACAAUUGUUUAUACUUCACCAACACCAGCGACUUUAUAUGAUAACGUCUUGUUAAACAAAUAAAUACAACAGAUACGCCAGGAUUUUCUAUCAUGUAAGAAGAUAAUGGGCUAGUUUUGUAUUGCAUAACAAUAAUGCAUCUGACAUGAAUAAAAUAUUAUAUUGUAAGAUCUAA
rnacentral:sRNA from 1 species